rnacentral:rRNA from 1 species
UACGUAGGUGGCGAGCGUUAUCCGGAUUUACUGGGCGUAAAGCGCUUGUAGGUGGCCUUGUAAGUUGGGCGUGAAAGCUCCUGGCUUAACCAGGAGAGGCCGUCCAAUACUGUAAGGCUAGAGGAUGCCAGAGGGAGAUGGAAUUCCUGGUGUAGUAGUGAAAUGCGUAGAUAUCAGGAGGAACACCGGUGGCGAAAGCGGUCUCCUGGGGCAUUCCUGACACUGAGAGGCGAAAGCUAGGGGAGCAAACAGGAUUAGAUACCCUGGUAGUCCACGCCGUAAACGAUGAGUACUAGAUUUUGGGGCCUUUGACCGCUUCAGAGUCGCAGCUAACGCAUUAAGUACUCCGCCUGGGAAGUACGGUCGCAAGACUAAAACUCAAAGGAAUUGACGGGGGCCCGCACAAGCGGUGGAUUAUGUGGUUUAAUUCGAAGCAACGCGCAGAACCUUACCUGGGCUUGAAAUCCCGAGAAGAUCGGCCAAAACUGAUUGUGCUCUUCGGAGAACUCGGUGACAGGCGCUGCACGGCUGUCGUCAGCUCGUGUCGUGAGAUGUUGGAUUAAGUCUCGCAACGAGCGCAACCCCUAUCCUUAGUUGCCAGCAUUAAGUUGGGCACUCUAGGGAGACUGCCUGGGUUAACCAGGAGGAAGGUGGGGAUGACGUCAAGUCCUCAUGGCCCUUAUGUCCAGGGCUACGCACGCGAUACAAUGGUGCAUACAAAGGGACGCGACCCCGCGAGGGUGAGCAAAUCUCAAAAAGUGCAUCUCAGUCCGGAUUGGAGUCUGCAACUCGACUCCAUGAAGUUGGAAUCGCUAGUAAUCGCGGAUCAGCACGCCGCGGUGAAUACGUUCCCGGGCC